CACAAUAUUUUUUUGUAGUCACACGAUUGGUACAGUACCGCGAACUUCUAUUGAAAAAUUGUUUUUCGUAAUUGGGAUAAACAAAACUAUUUGUUCAUUCACACAAUUGGGAUACAAUUUGUAACAAAUUUUGGGUAAAUGCCUAAUCGUGUGACACUGUCUUUACACUGGUUUACAGCCAAAAUCAUAUAUUCAUAUUUAUUUCUAGGAUAUAUUUAGGUCGCUGAUACCGAAUAUAUUCUUCGUUUUUUUUUCAGAUUCGUUCUUGUUUGAGAUUUAUUAUAAAUUGUGCAAUAUUUCUAUUGUAGAAAUUGGAUUAUAUUCUAUUUUCUAAUACCUUUUGGUAUAUAUUUGUUUACACAUAAUAUUUCUAAAGGGUUUUAAAGUUUUAAGUUCGGGUUGAUGCCUUAGGAGGCUAAAAUUGUCAUCAAACCUUACUUUAUCCAAACAAAAAAAAUGAGCUCCUUUUGUUCUUGUUACAAUUACUUAACAUAGUGAAAUUAAGUAAAGUUGCAAGGAAGACAAAUAUCCUUGUUGUGAGACACAAAUGGAAGCAAUCGUUAAUAAUCGUUUAGUCAGCAUAAAAGACGGGCUGGGCUAGCAGCCAUUACUUUGUACUUAGCUUUAGAUUUAGAUCAUGCUGUACAUACAUAUCUAAAAUUAUUGUUUCUUUACGGAGUGAUGAGAAACCUCCAUACAUAGUAAAAUCUUUUGCUGUGAAUUUCUUUUAAAGGCUCUUUUUAUUUAAGAAUGUCACUAAUUUUAUGCUGUAGUAGAUAUUUUUAAAAUUCAGUAGAUGCUUAUUCAGUUAUCGGCAGACUUUUCUACAAUACUGGAUUUGAAAAGAAAAUGAGUUAGGGCGUUUCAAUAUUAAGGUAACGAUAUGUAUUUUGGAGCGCAUUUUUGUCCUCCCUUGUCUGAUUUGGUUUGUAGUUUUCUGUUAUAUACAGUUCAUGCGCCCAUAUUUACAUAAGCUUCCGUUCCUUAGGUGUUGGUAAUUCCAAUAUUGGAGGAUACUUUUUAGAUCUGGAGUUACAUACAUACAUAUAUAUGAACAAUAGUACAUAUAUUCUGGCGGUUACACAUUUUCCCACGCGUUUGGCCGAGCUUCUCCUCCGAUUUGUGGCGUAAGCCCUUAUGUUGUUACACAAAUUUACGCCGCCUGCGAACUGUAAAUAGUUUUUAUGAAAAGCCUUCUCAUGGCAGAAAUAGACCGAGAAGCAACAGCUUUUAGAAAACAACUUUUUUUGUUGUCGCUGUGACCAAGAACGAACCUUGGUCCUACCCUGUGGAAUUUCGCACCUCUAACCUUUCGGAGACGGCGGCUGUUAAUAAACAUAUACAUACAACUUGCAAAAAAACGAAUGUUGCGUUCGGAAUCAGCGGCCUAAAUGGUGCUUAGAAGUAUAUACAUACAUACGUACCCUGCAGGCAAAAGUACCGAUACUUGACAUAUGGACGUUUCCAGCGGAAAGUCUACCGCAGGAAUUUAUUUAUGGACCAAUUUGACUACUUUCUAUAAUAUAGUAUAUUGGUGAUGUUAGGCAGAAACGAGAUAUUUUCGAAUAGCAGUAUUUAUAAACAGAUCUAGUUCAGCAUUUGGCAUAUGUAGUUGAAACACAAUAGCACAUAGCCAUACAAAAAACAGACCCGCUAGGUGGCGCUUAAGUCAAAAUUUAAAAUACACUCGAC